CCUACGGGAGGCAGCAGUGGGGAAUAUUGGACAAUGGGGGCAACCCUGAUCCAGCAAUUCUGUGUGCACGAUGAAGGUCUUCGGAUCGUAAAGUGCUUUCAGCAGGGACGAAGUCCUGACUGUACCUGCUAAAGAAGCGACGGCUAAAUACGUGCCAGCAGCCGCGGUAAUACGUAUGUCGCAAGCGUUAUCCGGAAUUAUUGGGCAUAAAGGGCAUCUAGGCGGCUUUGCAAGUCCGAGGUGAAAACUAUUGGCUCAACCAAUAGCUUGCCUUGGAAACUGCUUUGCUAGAGUAUUGGAGAGGUGGACGGAACUGCACGAGUAGAGGUGAAAUUCGUAGAUAUGUGCAGGAAUGCCGAUGAUGAAGAUAGUUCACUGGACGAUAACUGACGCUCAAGUGCGAAAGCUAGGGGAGCAAACAGGAUUAGAUACCCCAGUAGUC
rnacentral:rRNA from 1 species